AUUGGAUGAAUAAAUAACAUUUUUUUCUCUUCCUAGUCAGUAAAUAAGAAAAGUCAUUUGAAAUUUUAAAAAAACAAAACUAAACUAAAAACAAAGGAAAAAACCCUUCCCUUCUGCUUCUAGCAAGUUUGAGAAUAAAAUGGCCUGGUUGGAGACAAGCCAUCAUAGAUCUGCAGACCUGGGGUGGCGUCAUUGGUCCUGAGAGAAUUACUUUGCAUAUAUUACAAUGUGGCACAAACAGGCUCUGAAAAUUUUGAAGAUUUCCUUGGGUGGCAGGGAAGCCCUGCUUAAGAGGGCUGUUCCUGUUUAAGAGCAGAAGAUUCACGCACUAAUCAUGAACUGUGAAGGAGGGUGAGACAUGCUUACCGUGACUGGACUGCUGCUGUAUCUGUCUGGGCUUUCCGCGGGUGACC
rnacentral:lncRNA from 1 species